UACGUAGGUGGCAAGCGUUGUCCGGAUUUACUGGGCGUAAAGAGCGCGCAGGCGGUCGUUCAAGUCGAGUGUGAAAGCCCCCGGCUCAACUGGGGAGGGUCACUCGAUACUGAUCGACUCGAAGGCAGAAGAGGGAAGCGGAAUUCCCGGUGUAGUGGUGAAAUGCGUAGAUAUCGGGAGGAACACCAGUGGCGAAGGCGGGUCUCUGGACAGUUCCUGACGCUGAGGCACGAAGGCCAGGGGAGCAAACGGG
rnacentral:rRNA from 1 species